rnacentral:lncRNA from 1 species
CCACCCGUUUUUUGCUCAUUUUUCCGCUGGGGUGUCUUGGGACCCCGACCUUCGGGGGCUGAUUUUUGGGCGCGGCUGUGCCCGUGGCCUAUUUUUGGCACACGGAGGCCGCCCGCCUAGUCUGGGGCCAUUCCGAGUCAGGCGGACGAACUUCGCCCAAGCCCCCCACCAAGGCUAUAGCCCACCCGUUUUUUGGCCAUUUUCCGCUGGGGGGUCUUGGCACCCCGACCUUCGGGGGCUGAUUUUUGGGCGCGCCUGUGCCCGUGGCCUAUUUUUGGCACACGGAGGCCGUCCGCCAAGUCAGGGGCCAUUCCGAGUCCGGCGGACGAACUUCGCCCACGCCCCCCACCAAGGCUAUAGCCCACCCGUUUUUUGGCCAUUUUUCCGGUUGGGGGUCUUGGGACCCCGACCUUCGGGGGCUGAUUUUUGGGCACGGCUGUACCCGUGGCCUAUUUUUGGCACACGGAGGCCGCCCGCCAAGUCUGGGGCCAUUCCGAGUCCGGGGGACGAACUUCCCCCACGCCCCCCACCAAGGCUAUAGCCCACCCGUUUUUUGGCCAUUUUUCCGCUGGGGGGUCUUGGGACCCCGACCUUCGGGGGCUGAUUUUUGGGCGCGGCUGUGCCCGUGGCCUAUUUUUGGCACACGGAGGCCGCCCGCCAAGUCUGGUGCCAUUCCGAGUCUCGCAGACGAACUUCGCCCACGCACCCCACCAAGGCUAUAGCCCACCCAUUUUUUGGCCAUUUUUCCGCUGGGGGGUCUUGGAACCCCGACUUUCGUGGGCUGAUUUUUGGGCGCGGCUGUGCCCGUGGCCUAUUUUUGGCACACGGAGGCCGCCCGCCAAGUCUGGUGCCAUUCCGAGUCCCGCGGACGAACAUCGCCCGCGCCCCCCACCAAGGCUAUAGCCAACCCGUUUUUUGGCCAUUUUUCCGCUGGGGGGUCUUGGGACCCCGACUUUCGGGGGCUGAUUUUUGGGCGCGCCUGUGCCCGUGGCCUAUUUUUGGCACACGGAGGCCGGCCGCCAAGUCUGGGGCCAUUCCGAGUCCGGCGGACGAACUUCGCCCACGCCCCCCACCAAGGCUAUAGCCCACCCGUUUUUUGCUCAUUUUUCCGCUGGGGUGUCUUGGGACCCCGACCUUCGGGGGCUGAUUUUUGGGCGCGGCUGUGCCCGUGGCCUAUUUUUGGCACACGGAGGCCGCCCGCCAAGUCUGGUGCCAUUCCGAGUCCCGCAGAUGAACUUCGCCCACGCACCCCACCAAGGCUAUAGCCCACCCAUUUUUUGGCCAUUUUUCCGCUGGGGGGUCUUGGAACCCCGACUUUCGUGGGCUGAUUUUUGGGCGCGGCUGUGCCCGUGGCCUAUUUUUGGCACACGGAGGCCGCCCGCCAAGUCUGGUGCCAUUCCGAGUCCCGCGGAUGAACUUCGCCCGCGCCCCCCACCAAGGCUAUAGCCAACCCGUUUUUUGGCCAUUUUUCCGCUGGGGGGUCUUGGGACCCCGACUUUCGGGUGCUGAUUUUUGGGCGCGCCUGUGCCCGUGGCCUAUUUUUGGCACACGGAGGCCGCCCGCCAAGUCUGGGGCCAUUCCGAGUCCGGCGGACGAACUUCGCCCACGCCCCCCACCAAGGCUAUAGCCCACCCGUUUUUUGCUCAUUUUUCCGCUGGGGUGUCUUGGGACCCCGACCUUCGGGGGCUGAUUUUUGGGCGCGGCUGUGCCCGUGGCCUAUUUUUGGCACACGGAGGCCGCCCGCCUAGUUUGGGGCCAUUCCGAGUCAGGCGGACGAACUUCGCCCAAGCCCCCCACCAAGGCUAUAGCCCACCCGUUUUUUGGCCAUUUUCCGCUGGGGGGUCUUGGCACCCCGACCUUCGGGGGCUGAUUUUUGGGCGCGCCUGUGCCCGUGGCCUAUUUUUGGCACACGGAGGCCGUCCGCCAAGUCAGGGGCCAUUCCGAGUCCGGCGGACGAACUUCGCCCACGCCCCCCACCAAGGCUAUAGCCCACCCGUUUUUUGGCCAUUUUUCCGGUUGGGGGUCUUGGGACCCCGACCUUCGGGGGCUGAUUUUUGGGCACGGCUGUACCCGUGGCCUAUUUUUGGCACACGGAGGCCGCCCGCCAAGUCUGGGGCCAUUCCGAGACCGGGGGACGAACUUCCCCCACGCCCCCCACCAAGGCUAUAGCCCACCCGUUUUUUGGCCAUUUUUCCGCUGGGGGGUCUUGGGACCCCGACCUUCGGGGGCUGAUUUUUGGGCGCGGCUGUGCCCGUGGCCUAUUUUUGGCACACGGAGGCCGCCCGCCAAGUCUGCUGCCAUUCCGAGUCCCGCGGAC